AACGCGAAGAACCUUACCUACUCUUGAAUCCACAGAAUUUUGCAGAGAUGCGAAAGUGCCUUCGGGAACUGUGAGACAGGUGCUGCAUGGCUGUCGUCAGCUCGUGUCGUGAGAUGUUGGGUUAAGUCCCGUAACGAGCGCAACCCUUGUCCUUAGUUACUAACGAGUUAAGUCGAGGACUCUAAGGAGACCGCCGGUGACAAACCGGAGGAAGGUGGGGACGAUGUCAAGUCAUCAUGGCCCUUACGAGUAGGGCUACACACGUGCUACAAUGGCCGGUACAAAGGGUCGCUAAGUCGCGAGACGGAGCCAAUCCAAUAAAGCCGGUCGUAGUCCGGAUUGGAGUCUGCAACUCGACUCCAUGAAGCUGGAAUCGCUAGUAAUCGUGGAUCAGAACGCCACGGUGAAUACGUUCCCGGGCCUUGUACACACCGACUGUAC
rnacentral:rRNA from 1 species